rnacentral:rRNA from 1 species
AAUCAACGCUGGCGGCGUGCUUAACACAUGCAAGUCGAGCGCGAAAGCGGCUUCGGUCGUUAGUAGAGCGGCGGACGGGUGAGGAACACGUGGGUAACCUACCCUCGGGUGGGGAAUAACCCAGGGAAACCUGGGCUAAUUCCGCAUAACAUCUUUAGCUCGCAAGAGUUAUUGAUCAAAGCUGGGGACCCUUCGGGGCCUGGCGCCUGUGGAGGGGCCCGCGGCCGAUUAGCUUGUUGGUGAGGUAACGGCUCACCAAGGCUCCGAUCGGUAGCCGGCCUAAGAGGGCGGACGGCCACACUGGGACUGAGACACGGCCCAGACUCCUACGGGAGGCAGCAGUGGGGAAUUUUUUGUCAAUGGGGGAAACCCUGAACAAGCAACGCCGCGUGGAGGACGAAGACCCUCGGGUCGUAAACUCCUGUCGGAGGGGACGAAAGCGGUCGUAGUUAAUACCUGCGAUCGUUGACGGUACCCUACGAGGAAGCCCCGGCUAACUCCGUG